rnacentral:misc_RNA from 1 species
GAUGAAGAACGCAGCGAAAUGCGAUAAGUAGUGUGAAUUGCAGAAUUCAGUGAAUCGUCGAAUCUUUGAACGCACAUUGCGCCCCUCGGUAUUCCGUGGGGCAUGCCUGUUCGAGCGUCAUUUACCCCUCAAGCACUGCUUGGUGUUGGGCGUCUGUCCCGCUUCGCGCGCGGACUCGCCCCAAAGGUAUUGGCAGCGGUCGUGCCAGCUUCUCGCGCAGCACAUUGCGCUUCUCGAGGCGGUCGAUCGGCGUCCACGAAGCUCACCUCCACCGUUUGACCUCGGAUCAGGUAGGGAUACCCGCUGAACUUAAGCAUAUCAAUAAGCGGAGGA